rnacentral:rRNA from 1 species
UAGGAAAUCUUCCACAAUGGGCGAAAGCCUGAUGGAGCAACGCCGCGUGUGUGAUGAAGGGUUUCGGCUCGUAAAACACUGUUGUAAGAGAAGAAUGACAUUGAGAGUAACUGUUCAAUGUGUGACGGUAUCUUACCAGAAAGGAACGGCUAAAUACGUACCAG